rnacentral:lncRNA from 1 species
AUCAACCCUGUAACCCAACUUAUCAUCUCUUUCACUAUCUUUACAGGAACUGUCAUCACAAUAAUAGGUUUACACUGACUUCUCAACUGAAUGGGCAUGGAAAUAAAUAUAUUAGCCAUUGUCCCAAUUCUAUAAAAAAGCAAGCCCUCACUCCACAGAAGCAGCUACCAAAUAUUUUCUUACACAAGCAACUGCAUCCAUAAUCCUCAUAACAGGUGUUAUUACUGAUAUACUGUGCUCCAGACAAUGAAUAAUCAUAAACUCAAUCAAUCAAGUAGCAUCUUUAAUAAUAUUAAUAGCCUUAACAAUAAAAUUAGGCAUAUCUCCCUUCCACUUUUUAGUCCCAGAAGUAACCCAGGGAAUUUCACUAACAUCUGGUAUAAUCCUUCUUACAUGACAAAAACUAGCCCCUAUCUCCAUUAUAUUUCAAAUUUUCUUCUCAAUGGACCUAAACAUUUUAGUAGCAAUUGCAACAUUAUCUGUUCUAGUAGGGGACUGAGGACUCAACCAAAGGCAACUGCAAAAAAUCUUAGCCUGUUCAUCAAUUGCUCACAUGGGCUGAAUGAUUGCAAUCUUAACAUAUAACCCAAAUAUUACUAUCCAAACCUUAAUUAUCUAUCUUGUCUUGACAGUAGCUAUAUUUAUAAUAUUUAAUGCAAGCAUAAGCACUGCAAGUCUAUCGCUAUCG